rnacentral:rRNA from 1 species
AGUGAACGCUGGCGGCAGGCCUAAUACAUGCAAGUCGAACGGCAGCACAGCAGAGCUUGCUCUGUGGGUGGCGAGUGGCGGACGGGUGAGGAAUACAUGGGAAUCUGCCCAGUCGUGGGGGAUAACGUAUGGAAACGUACGCUAAUACCGCAUGCGCCCUACGGGGGAAAGUCGGGGACCGCAAGGCCUGACGCGAUUGGAUGAGCCCAUGUUCGAUUAGCUAGUUGGCGGGGUAAAGGCCCACCAAGGCGACGAUCGAUAGCUGGUCUGAGAGGAUGAUCAGCCACACUGGAACUGAGACACGGUCCAGACUCCUACGGGAGGCAGCAGUAGGGAAUAUUGGACAAUGGGGGCAACCCUGAUCCAGCCAUGCCGCGUGAGUGAAGAAGGCCCUCGGGUUGUAAAGCUCUUUUGUCCGGAAAGAAAGCAUCUGGUUAAUACCCGGGUGUUCUGACGGUACCGGAAGAAUAAGCACCGGCUAACUUCGUGCC